UAUCUUCAACCUUCUUGGUUUCUUGAUCAAGAAGGCUUGGAAUUUGGAGGCUUUUGCUGGCUUUCCUCUCAAAGCCAGCUCCUCUUAAAUCAAUUAGUAGGGUCUACUUUGCUGAUCCUUGACGUGAUAAGAUUAUUUUCUACGUCUUGGGCUUUUUGCAAACCUGCUUCUAACUGUCUCGUCAGAGACUGAUAUAUAAAC
rnacentral:misc_RNA from 1 species